GUCCCUGUAGCGCAAUGGAAAGCGCUUUGGGUUUCUAAUCCAAAGGUCGUGGGUUCGAAUCCUGUCUGGGAUG
rnacentral:tRNA from 1 species